GCCCUUCAUCUGCUGUCAUGUCCCCUUCUUGUUUCAGGCUUAAAUUACAUUAUUCAAUAAAACAGUAAAAGAAAGUAUGUUUUAAUCGUUUCUUUUUUAUAAUUCCAGAUGGGAAGAAGCGAGAGGUAAAUCUUGGUGGAGGGACGCCUAGACAUUGUUUCUUUGAGCUGAUGCCUGGAACUGAAUAUAAAAUCAGUGUUCAUGCACAGCUUCAGGAGAUAGAGGGCCCUGCUGUAAGCAUCAUGGAGACAACAUUACCAUUUCCAACUCAACCACCAACAACACCUUCAACACCACCUCCACCACCUACAAUCCCUCCUGCGAAAGAGGUGUGCAAAGCAGCCAAAGCUGACCUAGCGUUCCUGGUGGAUGGGUCAUGGAGUAUUGGAGAUGACAAUUUCAAUAAAAUAAUCAGCUUUCUCUACAGCACUGUUGGAGCUUUGGAUAAGAUUGGUCCUGAUGGAACGCAGGUGGCGAUAAUUCAGUUCAGUGAUGAUCCCAGGACAGAAUUUAAAUUGAAUGCAUAUAAAACAAAAGAGACUCUUCUUGAAGCUAUUCAGCAAAUAGCCUACAAAGGAGGGAAUACAAAAACAGGCAAAGCCAUUAAACAUGCAAGAGAAGUCUUGUUUACGGGAGAGGCGGGCAUGAGGAGGGGCAUUCCGAAGGUUUUGGUUGUCAUUACUGAUGGGCGAUCACAGGACGAUGUGAACAAAGUCUCCAGAGAAAUGCAACUGGAUGGUUUCAGCUUUUUUGCUAUUGGAGUAGCUGAUGCUGACUAUUCGGAGUUAGUUAAUAUUGGCAGCAAACCCAGUGAAAGACAUGUCUUCUUUGUGGAUGACUUUGACGCCUUCACAAAGAUUGAAGAUGAGCUGAUCACUUUUGUUUGUGAAACUGCAUCAGCAACCUGCCCAUUGGUAGUUAAAGAUGGCAACAAUUUUGCAGGAUUUAAAAUGAUGGAAAUGUUUGGUUUGGUUGAAAAGGAGUUUUCAGCUGUGGAAGGGGUUUCAAUGGAACCCGGUACAUUUAAUGUUUACCCAUGCUACAGACUGCACAAGGAUGCCCUGGUAUCCCAGCCUACCAAGUAUUUGCAUCCUGAAGGUCUUCCUUCUGAUUACACCAUUACGUUUCUCUUUCGUAUCCUCCCCGACACACCUCAAGAGCCAUUUGCUCUUUGGGAGAUUUUAAAUGAAGCAUAUGAACCACUGGUUGGAGUUAUUUUAGAUAAUGGUGGCAAAACUCUGACUUUCUUUAACUACGACUACAAAGGAGAUUUUCAAACUGUCACGUUUGAAGGUCCUGAAAUAAGGAAGAUAUUUUAUGGGAGCUUUCAUAAGUUGCAUGUUGUUAUCAGCAAGACUACGGCUAAAAUAAUUAUUGACUGCAAGCAAGUGAGUGAGAAGACCAUUAAUGCAGCAGGGAAUAUCAGUUCUGAUGGCAUAGAAGUGCUGGGGAGGAUGGUCAGAUCCAGAGGACCAAGAGAUAACUCUGCACCACUGCAGUUACAGAUGUUUGACAUUGUUUGUGCUACCUCAUGGGCCAAUCGGGACAAAUGCUGUGAGCUUCCUGGCUUGAGAGAUGAAGAAAACUGUCCUGCCCUUCCUCAUGCUUGUUCCUGCUCAGAAGCUAAUAAGGGUCCCCUUGGACCUCCUGGUCCACCGGGUGGUCCAGGUGUCAGAGGUGCCAAAGGUCAUCGUGGCGAUCCAGGUCCAAAGGGACCAGAUGGACCUCGAGGUGAAAUUGGUGUUCCCGGACCACAAGGACCUCCAGGACCACAAGGACCCAGUGGACUUUCUAUUCAAGGGCUUCCAGGGCCACCAGGUGAAAAGGGAGAGAAGGGAGAUCUUGGUUUUCCUGGCCUGCAGGGUGUCCCAGGAGCAUCAGGUUCACCCGGAAGAGACGGAGCUCAAGGUCAAAGGGGCCUUCCUGGCAAAGAUGGACCCACAGGCCCACAAGGACCUCCUGGCCCAAUGGGCAUACCUGGUGCUCCAGGUGUUCCUGGUGUUACUGGAAGCCAGGGGCCACAAGGUGAUGUUGGAGCUCCUGGUCCUCCUGGAGCUAAGGGUGAAAGGGGUGAGCGGGGUGAUCUCCAGUCCCAAGCAAUGGUGCGUGCUGUUGCUCGGCAAGUGUGUGAGCAACUCAUCCAGGGUCAUAUGGCAAGAUAUAACUCAAUUCUGAACCAGAUUCCAAGCCAGUCUGUCUCAACCCGAACCAUCGCAGGACCCCCUGGUGAGCCAGGUCGGCCAGGGGCUCCAGGGCCACAAGGAGAACAAGGUUCCCCAGGCAUGCAAGGGUUUCCAGGAAGUCCCGGUCAACCAGGAAGACCAGGAGAAAGAGGUUUACCAGGCGAGAAGGGAGAAAAAGGCAAUCCAGGAGUUGGAACACAAGGACCCCGAGGCCCACCAGGAUCUACAGGACCUCCAGGAGAAAGUCGAACUGGCAGCCCGGGACCACCAGGUUCUCCAGGCCCACGAGGUCCCCCCGGCCACACGGGGCCCCCGGGUUCCCAGGGUCCUUCAGGCCCGCCGGGGUACUGCGACCCGUCCUCCUGCGCUGGCUACGGCAUGGGAGGUGGAUACGGUGAACCAACCGAUCAAGACAUCCCCGUAGUGCAGUUGCCACAUAACUCCUACCAAAUCUAUGACCCCGAGGACCUUUACGAUGAGUUCACUCCCGUUCGAGAAGAGCUGGAAGCCGUUGAACUGAGGUCCCCAGGAAUCAGUCGCUUCCCAAGGAAGGUAGCCAAAAGGAGCGUCAAGACUCCAGGACGCAAAAGGGCGAAUGGAAAAAAACCCUCUCAAUGAACUGUUUAAAAAAGGGAAACGUUUUAUGUGCAUCUGUGUUUGGCCUUUGUCCGGGUGCCUGACCUGGCACGGAAGAUGUUUACAGGCUCUUAUAUUAAAGGAGAAAAAAAAUGUACACGGCCAGUUGAUACAACAGCUAACGCUAAUUAUCUUGCAUGCCAGAAACGUAGUAUGUUAGUGGGUUGGUGCUAGAUGAUGAUGGAAGGUCACCUGUAGAUCUUUCUCUGGAGUGCUGUUCAUACACUACUCACACUGUAUCUAAACCCCACGCCCGGCGAGUCGGGGGGGCGUAGAACCAUUCGGAAAAGUUCCUGUUUUGUUAUCCAUGUGUUUCCAGUUGAUCAUGUUCCCUUAGUUUUGGCUGAACUGCUUUACUGCGGAGUAACCUGCCGAAAUUCACUGGAGAACGAGGCAUAUCCCGGUUCCCUUGGCGCCAGCUGUUACCAUUUCACAACUGAUCUUAUGGUAACGGAAUAUUUUUUUUUAACCCACCUUAUAUAAAUAAACUAGAAUGUUCUGUGGGAGCA
rnacentral:lncRNA from 1 species